rnacentral:snoRNA from 1 species
AACCUAUGAUGAGGGCACCUUCUCAAUAGAUCCUUAAAUCUCUCCCAUGCAUCAUACAAUGUCUCCAAAUAAUUUGAGCAAAAGAAGAGAUAUCAGUCCUCAACUU